rnacentral:rRNA from 1 species
CCUACGGGUGGCACCAGUGGGGAAUAUUGGACAAUGGGGGGAACCCUGAUCCAGCCAUGCCGCGUGUGUGAAGAAGGCCUUUUGGUUGUAAAGCACUUUAAGCGAGGAGGAGGCUCUCUUGGUUAAUACCUGAGAAGAGUGGACGUUACUCGCAGAAUAAGCACCGGCUAACUCUGUGCCAGCAGCCGCGGUAAUACAGAGGGUGCGAGCGUUAAUCGGAUUUACUGGGCGUAAAGCGCGCGUAGGUGGCUAAUUAAGUCAAAUGUGAAAUCCCCGAGCUUAACUUGGGAAUUGCAUUCGAUACUGGUUGGCUAGAGUAUGGGAGAGGAUGGUAGAAUUCCAGGUGUAGCGGUGAAAUGCGUAGAGAUCUGGAGGAAUACCGAUGGCGAAGGCAGCCAUCUGGCCUAAUACUGACACUGAGGUGCGAAAGCAUGGGGAGCAAACAGGAUUAGAUACCCUUGUAGUC